CCCGUGCUACAACCGCACAGAACAGGUAAUAAGAUUUUGCUCGAGGCCACGUGCAUGCGAGUGAAGCGCCUGAGGAUGGCGAGUCUUAGUCUAAGA
rfam:Bacillus sp. FJAT-21945 super3, whole genome shotgun sequence.